GUCUACAUCACGUUGAAACACAGGUUCACAUUCGAUCACCGAAGUUGAGCAACGUCGAGCCUGGUCAGCAACAACAUGGGUGACCGCUAGGGAAUACCAGGUGCUGUUUG